rnacentral:lncRNA from 1 species
UCUGCGGUUGCUCAUAAGCUAUCAUAGAAUUUCGUAGCAUAUCCAACUGCAUAUGCUGAUGUCGUGGCACCAAAAUGGAUGUCAGCAAUGCUGUGGUCAGAUUUGUGCAACUCGGCAGGAAGCAGAAGGAUAUUAAACAACAGCUUUUAUUGUCAGCUAAUGAUCUUGCAUUGACUUGCGGGUUAUGGGUGGUGUUACACCACGCAUCCAUGCAUACAUGGCAAGGGUGGUGGAGUUGGAAUGGCUGUUCAUCACAGCCUGUGCUGGUGAGAGUUUUCAAAACCAGCCGGCCUGUGCUGGGAAGUUGCCAGACAUUGCAGUUAUAAAGGACCAUGACGAGCCUUUGUUGUGGGCUUGUCGAUGAGGGAUGGGCUUCACUGAAGUCUGCCCAAUUAUCUCAAACUGCUACAGUUUUGUGGUAAGGAAGUGGGAGAGGCUGGGCACUGCCUGGUCCCCACAGCAUGUGCUGGGGUUUUGUAAGUAUGGCGAUAAUCGUUACAUGCCAGGCAGUGUUAGCCUGCCAGAACCUUGCCAACAUUGAUG